rnacentral:lncRNA from 1 species
AUGGAAAAGAAAUGCAAAAAAGCAAAAUGGCUGUCUGGGGAGGCCUUACAAAUAGCUGUGAAAAGAAGAGAGGCAAAAAGCAAAGGAGAAAAGGAAAGAUAUAAGCAUCUGAAUGUAGAGUUCCAAAGAAUAGCAAGAAGAGAUAAGAAAGCCUUCUUCAGCGAUCAGUGCAAAGAAAUAGAGGAAAACAACAGAAUGGGAAAGACUAGAGAUCUCUUCAAGAAAAUUAGAGAUACCAAGGGAACAUUUCAUGCAAAGAUGGGCUCAAUAAAGGACAGAAAUGGUAUGGACCUAACAGAACCAGAAGAUAUUAAGAAGAGGUGGCAAGAAUACACGGAAGAACUGUACAAAAAAGAUCUUCAUGACCCAGAUAAUCAUGAUGAUGUGAUCACUAAUCUAGAGCCAGACAUCUUGGAAAGUGAAGUCAAGUGGGCCUCAGAAAGCAUCACUACAAACAAAGCUAGUGGAGGUGACGAAAUUCCAGUUGAGCUGUUUCAAAUCCUGAAAGAUGAUGCUGUGAAAGUGCAGCACUCAACAUGCCAGCAAAUUUGGAAAACUCAGCAGUGGCCACAGGACUGGAAAAGGUCAGUUUUCAUUCCAAUCCCAAAGAAAGGCAAUGCCAAAGAAUCCUCAAACUACCACACAAUUGCACUCAUCUCACAUGCUAGUAAAGUAAUGCUCAAAAUUCUCCAAGCCAGGCUUCAGCAAUACGUGAACCGUGAACUUCCUGAUGUUCAAGCUGGUUUUAGAAAAGGCAGAGGAACCAGAGAUCAAAUUGCCAACAUCCGCUGGAUCAUGGAAAAAGCAAGAGAGUUCCAGAAAAACAUCUAUUUUUGCUUUACUGACUAUGCCAAAGCUUUUGACUGUGUGGACCACAAUAAACUGUGGAAAAUUCUGAAAGAGAUGGGAAUACCAGACCACCUGACCUGCCUCUUGAGAAAUCUGUAUGCAGGUCAGGAAGCAACAGUUAGAAUUGGACAUGGAACAACAGACUGGUUCCAAAUAGGAAAAGGAGUACCUCAAGGCAGUAUAUUGUCACCCUGCUUAUUUAACUUAUAUGCAGAGUACAUCUUGAGAAACGCUGGACUGGAAGAAACACAAGCUGGAAUCAAGAUUGCCAGGAGAAAUAUCAAUCACCUCAGAUAUGCAGAUGACACCACCCUUAUGGCAGAAAGUGAAGAGGAGCUAAAAAGCCUCUUGAUGAAAGUGAAAGAGGAGAGCAAAAAAGUUGGCUUAAAGCUCAACAUUCAGAAAACGAAGAUCAUGGCAUCCAGUCUCAUCACUUCAUGGGAAAUAGAUGGGGAAACAGUGGAAACAGUGUCAGGCUUUAUUUUUGGGGGCUCCAAAAUCACUGCAGAUGGUGACUGCAGCCAUGAAAUUAAAAGACGCUUACUCCUUGGAAGAAAAGUUAUGACCAACCUAGAUAGCAUAUUCAAAAGCAGAGACAUUACUUUGCCGACUAAGGUCCAUCUAGUCAAGGCUAUGGUUUUUCCUGUGGUCAUGUAUGGAUGUGAGAGUUGGACUGUGAAGAAGGCUGAACGCCGAAGAAUUGAUGCUUUUGAACUGUGGUGUUGGAGAAGACUCCUGAGAGCCCCUUGGACUGCAAGGAGAUCCAACCAGUCCAUUCUGAAGGAGAUCAACCCUGGGAUUUCUUUGGAAGGAAUGAUGCUAAAGCUGAAACUCCAGUACUUUGGCCACCUCAUGAGAAGAGCUGACUCAUUGGAAAAGACUCUGAUGCUGGGAGGGAUUGGGGGCAGGAGGAGAAGGGGAUGA